rnacentral:lncRNA from 1 species
GAAUUGGGGGGAUUGGGGGGAGGGGGGAGUUGGGAUUUGUGGGGUUUGGGAGGGAGGGAAACGAGGGAGGUGUUUUUGGAGGAGAGGGAUGGGAAAGAGAGGAGUUUUCUUCGGGGGUGAGAGAUGGGGGGUUUGGGGAGGGUGUUUGUGGUGGAGAAGUGGUGACGGUGGGGUGUUUCGAGCAUGGUUUGGGUUGGGAGUGUGUGUUACAUGGCUUUGGGAGACUGAGGAGGGGAGUGGAAAGAUAAGGUGGGUUUAGAGAUUGGGUUGCAGCGGAGCAACGUUCUAUCUGGAAAUCUUCCCACUUUAUUUUAUGUGUGUCAAGUGUCAAUGC